AGCUUCCCAAGUAGCUGUGCCUACAGGCGUGCGCCACCACGCCCAGCUAAUUUUUGCAUUUUUAGUAAAGAUGGCGUUUUACCAUGUUGGCCAGGCUGGUCUCGAACUGCUGACCUCAGCUGAUCCACCCACCUUGGCCUCCCAAAGUGCUGGGAUUACAGUGUGAGCCACUGUGCCCAGCCAAGUUUGUCAUUUUGAAAACAUAUCCUUGUUGGAUUAUAAAAGUAACUUGUACAUUACAGAAAUUGUGAAAAAUAAGACGGGCACAGGGACAGCACCCUCAGUCACAAUUCCCCCAUCCACCUCCGGUCUUAAUGAGACGAGCUACACACACGUGAAGCAGCAGAACCACACGUGCCUCCCGCCUGUCCACACGGGCCGCUCCCCAGAGGUGGCAUGCCUUCAUGCCUUCCACCUCCCGCCUUCCCUUUUAAGAGACACUUGUUUGGGCCAGGUGUGGUGCUCACACUUGUCAUCUCUAUACUUUGGGAGGCCGAGGUGGGUGGAUCACUUGAGGUCAGGAGUUAAAGAGAUUGGCCUGGCCAACAUGGUGAAACCCUGUCUCUGCCAAAAAUUACAAAAAUUAGCAGGCGUGGUUGCAGGAGCCUAUAAUCCCAGCUACUCGGGAGGCUGAGGCAGAAGAGUCACUUGAACCCUGGAGGCGGAAGUUGUAAGCCAAGAUGGCGCCACUGCACUCCAGCCUGGGCAACAGAGCAAGACUUCGUCUCAAAAAAAAUUAAAAACUAAAGUGACCAAUUUGCAAAGGGACACCAAGAUUGCUUGGCUGUCGGUUCUGACAAACUGCCUAGAUCCUGGGGAAGUCAGGAAUUCCUCCCAUCACAGGAAAGGGCAGAUUCACACGGAUGCCCUACUCUAGCCCUCAUCCACCUGCGUGACUGAGAGACUCAGUGAGAGACCCGCAGAGCCUCACCCGGGCCACGCAGCAUGGGCCCUCAGCGGGUGGCAGCUGAUGCCCCUGGAAGGCAGAUCCGGCUCCUCCAGCUCCACCACUGGUUCCUCCACAGCUUCACUCCAAGACACUUCCAGACCCCCAGGGGGUGUCCCAAGUGAAAGUCUGGCCCCACAUCUACCCCAGAUCUCCGGUCACCUUGGGCACAAGUCUGAGUCAGGCUCUGCAGAAACACCCGGUGCCUCCCCCAGGCUCACACUGACAGCUGCGGGGCCUGGGUCAAGCGCAGCCCGUGCUCACCUUCAUGCCGUCCGCGCCUCGGUACACAGCUGUGCAGCCCUGGUAAGGACACUUGUAGAUGGUGGGGAGCUCCUCCCUGCAACGAAGAGCAGGCAUGGAGCCCGGCCCCGACAGGCAGGGCGCGCCUCGGGCUCCAGGCCUCACCUCUCACAGCGAAGCUGCUUCUUCCAUCCGGGCUUGGGUCCCGGCUUCUUCCGAAUUCUGGGUUCUUCAGACUUCUUGGCUUCUUUGCUUUCACUCUUCUUACCAGAGACCCUGAAAAAAAGAGGUUCCCAGAUUCAGUGGUUUCUGAUCUCCAUUUGAAAAAGGUUUCUUGUCUCUCCAACAUGAGAGAUGGUUUUUUUGAAGCUUCCCUGAGUUGCUUCUGUGCUGACUGACCCUCGAAAUCUACCUGAAGCCACCAAAACCAGAGCAACUCUGGACAGGAGGCCUCAGAGGCGAACACAGCAGAGGGCAAGGCGCAGGGCACAGCAGGGGUGAGUUCUGAGAACUGAAGCUUCAUCCUGUGCUACACAUAAAACCCAACACUGGAGAUAUCAGGAAAGACGGCAGAACAAAGGGGCUACCCCUUUAUCAAAAUGACCUUAAAUGCUAGGAAAAAGCUCAGAUCCACUCUCUGAAAACAGGACAGCUUGAUUCCAAGCUCAAGCCACCAGCCGGGGCUUUGGAAGAACAGGUGCUGUUCCCCCGGAAGCACAAGGUGAGCAGCUGCCACCCCGGCAUCUCUCAGCCCUGCCCCCGCUGUAGGGAGCCCAGCCUGUGUUCCUGGAGCUGCUGGCUGGGACCAUGGUGGGCAGGAGACCUUGUCCUCCAAAACUUGGGGGUCACGCACUUUAGUUGGUCUGGCAAGUCCCUGAGGGACCAGCAAAUGCAGCAGCGUCCAGUGUACAUCUAUUGGAGAUUUAGAGGAGAGAGACACUUGUGGUUCCUUUUUGGAUCCAGAUAAGGAUAGGGAAGGAAAUCCCUCAGGAAAAGAAGGGAACUUCACCAUGAUAAAGCCUGGACGUGAAACCCACAGCAGACGCCACACUCGAUUGUGAAAGACUGAAAGCUCUUCCUCCAGGAUGAGGAAAAGACACGGGUUCUCUCACCUCUGUUCUCAGCACAGCACUGGAGGCCCUGGCCAGAGUAACUGGGCAAGGAAAACAAAAAUUCUCCCUAUUCACAAAUGACAUGACCUUGUAUGUAGAAAACCCUAAAGAUCCACAUACAGAAAAACCCUAAUAAAUGAUUUCAGCAAAGCUGCAGAG